UACGUAGGGUGCGAGCGUUUAAUCGGAAUUACUGGGCGUAAAGCGUGCGCAGGCGGUUCGUUAAGUCAGAUGUGAAAGCCCCGGGCUCAACCUGGGAACUGCAUUUGAAACUGGCGGGCUUGAGUGUGGCAGAGGGGGGUGGAAUUCCGCGUGUAGCAGUGAAUGCGUAGAGAUGCGGAGGAACACCGAUGGCGAAGGCAGCCCCUGGGCCAACACUGACGCUCAGGCACGAAAGCGUGGGGAGCAAACAGG
rnacentral:rRNA from 1 species